UCGGGAAUUUUGGGCAAUGGGCGAAAGCCUGACCCAGCAACGCCGCGUGAAGGAUGAAGUAUUUCGGUAUGUAAACUUCGAAAGAAUAGGAAGAAUAAAUGACGGUACUAUUUAUAAGGUCCGGCUAACUGCGUGCCAGCAGCCGCGGUAAUACGUAGGGACCAAGCGUUGUUCGGAUUUACUGGGCGUAAAGGGCGCGUAGGCGGCAAUUCAAGUCAUCUGUGAAAUCUCCGGGGUUAACUCGGAACGGUCAGAUGAUACUGCUUUGCUAGAGUGCAGAAGGGGCAAUCGGAAUUCUUGGUGUAGCGGUGAAAUGCGUAGAUAUCAAGAGGAACACCUGAGGUGAAGACGGGUUGCUGGGCUGACACUGACGCUGAGGCGCGAAAGCCAGGGGAGCAAACGGGAUUAGAUACCCACGUAGUCCCUGAGCGGGCUGGCAAGGCGCAU
rnacentral:rRNA from 1 species